rnacentral:rRNA from 1 species
UGUGUAGGCGGUUCUUUAAGUUUGGUGUGAAAUCUCCCGGCUCAACCGGGAGGGUGCGCCGAAUACUGAGGGACUAGAGUGUGGGAGAGGAAAGUGGAAUUCCUGGUGUAGCGGUGAAAUGCGUAGAUAUCAGGAGGAACACCGGUGGUGUAGACGGCUUUCUGGACCAUAACUGACGCUGAGACACGAAAGCGUGGGUAGCAAACA